AUUCGUUGGAUGAAUGUGAGGCAUUGGAUUGAUUUCGUUCAAUCCGAACCCCACAUUCAUCAAGGGUUCGU
rfam:Nicotiana attenuata strain TT chromosome 9, whole genome shotgun sequence.